UACGAAGGUCCCAAGCGUUGUUCGGAAUCACUGGGCGUAAAGGGAGCGUAGGCGGCGUGGUAAGUCAGAUGUGAAAUCCCGGGGCUCAACCCCGGAACUGCAUCCGAUACUGCCAUGCUUGAGGGUUGGAGAGGUAGCUGGAAUUCUCGGUGUAGCAGUGAAAUGCGUGGAUAUCGAGAGGAACACUCGUGGCGAAGGCGAGCUACUGGACAACAUCUGACGCUGAGGCUCGAAGGCCAGGGGAGCGAAAGGG
rnacentral:rRNA from 1 species